ensembl:snRNA U6 U6 spliceosomal RNA
GUGCUCGCUUCAGCAGCACAUAUACCACAAUUGAAACAAUACAGAGAAGAUUAGCAUGGCUCCUGUGCAAGGAUGACAUACAACUUCAUGAAGCGUUCCAUAUUUUA